rnacentral:rRNA from 1 species
GACGAACGCUGGCGGCGUGCUUAAUACAUGCAAGUCGAGCGACGAAACCGGUCUGGGUAACCAGACCGGCUGAAAGCGGCGAACGGGUGAGUAACACGUGGGUAACGUACCCCUGGCACAGGGAUAACAACGGGAAACCGUUGCUAAUACCUGAUGACCCCUGCGGACCGCAUGGCCUGCAGGGCAAAGCUCCGGCGGCCAGGGAUCGGCCCGCGGCCUAUCAGCUUGUUGGUGGGGUAACGGCCCACCAAGGCUUUGACGGGUAGCUGGCGUGAGA